rnacentral:rRNA from 1 species
GAUGAACGCUGGCGGCGUGCCUAAUACAUGCAAGUCGAGCGAACAGACGAGGAGCUUGCUCCUCUGACGUUAGCGGCGGACGGGUGAGUAACACGUGGAUAACCUACCUAUAAGACUGGGAUAACUUCGGGAAACCGGAGCUAAUACCGGAUAACAUGUUGAACCGCAUGGUUCAACAGUGAAAGACGGUCUUGCUGUCACUUAUAGAUGGAUCCGCGCCGCAUUAGCUAGUUGGUAAGGUAACGGCUUACCAAGGCAACGAUGCGUAGCCGACCUGAGAGGGUGAUCGGCCACACUGGACCUGAGACCCGGUCCAGACUCCUACGGGAGGCAGCAGUAGGGAAUCUUCCGCAAUGGGCGAAAGCCUGACGGAGCAACGCCGCGUGAGUGAAGAAGGUCUUCGGAUCGUAAAACUCUGUUAUUAGGGAAGAACAAAUGUGUAAGUAACUAUGCACGUCUUGACGGUACCUAAUCAGAAAGCCACGGCUAACUACGU